UGCAAGUCGAGCGAUGGAUUGAGAGCUUGCUCUCAAGAAGUUAGCGGCGGACGGGUGAGUAACACGUGGGUAACCUGCCCAUAAGACUGGGAUAACUCCGGGAAACCGGGGCUAAUACCGGAUAACAUUUUGAACUGCAUGGUUCGAAAUUGAAAGGCGGCUUCGGCUGUCACUUAUGGAUGGACCCGCGUCGCAUUAGCUAGUUGGUGAGGUAACGGCUCACCAAGGCAACGAUGCGUAGCCGACCUGAGAGGGUGAUCGGCCACACUGGGACUGAGACACGGCCCAGACUCCUACGGGAGGCAGCAGUAGGGAAUCUUCCGCAAUGGACGAAAGUCUGACGGAGCAACGCCGCGUGAGUGAUGAAGGCUUUCGGGUCGUAAAACUCUGUUGUUAGGGAAGAACAAGUGCUAGUUGAAUAAGCUGGCACCUUGACGGUACCUAACCAGAAAGCCACGGCUAACUACGUGCCAGCAGCCGCGGUAAUACGUAGGUGGCAAGCGUUAUCCGGAAUUAUUGGGCGUAAAGCGCGCGCAGGUGGUUUCUUAAGUCUGAUGUGAAAGCCCACGGCUCAACCGUGGAGGGUCAUUGGAAACUGGGAGACUUGAGUGCAGAAGAGGAAGUGGAAUUCCAUGUGUAGCGGUGAAAUGCGUAGAGAUAUGGAGGAACACCAGUGGCGAAGGCGACUUUCUGGUCUGUACUGACACUGAGGCGCGAAAGCGUGGGGAG
rnacentral:rRNA from 2 species